UGCUUCAUUGCUUCUCUUGAUCUUGUCUUGAAUUUCUUGUUUUUGUACUCCAAUUUUGGUCCGUUAAUAGAUUGCAUAUCAUCUCUACAAAACAAAUAUACUUUAGUAUAAACAAAAGUAUAUCUCAAUAAUAACUUAUGAUUAUUUGGCAUGUAUAAUAUUUUCCAUCUUCAUCGGUUUGUCAUUUAUCAAAACCUAUACAAAUGAACACAUUAGUUUUAACAACAUAAUAAAUGUGUUCUAACAAUUUCCCCCUUUUUGAUAAUGGCAAACCUAUAUGGGGAUAUGUAUUAAAANNNNN
rnacentral:lncRNA from 1 species